rnacentral:rRNA from 16 species
CUGGUAACUGAAGCCCUGGUGAACGGCGGCCGUAACAAUAACGGUCCUAAGGUAGCGAAAUUCCUUGUCGGGUAAGUUCCGACCUGCACGAAUGGCGUAACGAUGGCCACACUGUCUCCUCCUGAGACUCAGCGAAGUUGAAAUGUUUGUGAUGAUGCAAUCUCCCCGCGGAAAGACGGAAAGACCCCAUGAACCUUUACUGUAGCUUUGUAUUGGAUUUUGAACAGACCUGUGUAGGAUAGGUGGGAGGCUUUGAAGCCGAGACGCUAGUCUUGGUGGAGCCAUCCUUGAAAUACCACCCUGGUCAUGUCGGGGUUCUAACUCAGGUAUAACAAUACCGAGGACAAUGUAUGGUGGGUAGUUUGACUGGGGCGGUCUCCUCCUAAAGAGUAACGGAGGAGUACGAAGGUGCGCUCAGAACGGUCGGAAAUCGUUCAUAGAGUAUAAAGGCAAAAGCGCGCUUAACUGCGAGACCCACAAGUCGAGCAGGUACGAAAGUAGGUCUUAGUGAUCCGGUGGUUCUGUAUGGAAGGGCCAUCGCUCAACGGAUAAAAGGUACUCUGGGGAUAACAGGCUGAUACCGCCCAAGAGUUCAUAUCGACGGCGGUGUUUGGCACCUCGAUGUCGGCUCAUCUCAUCCUGGGGCUGUAGCCGGUCCCAAGGGUAUGGCUGUUCGCCAUUUAAAGAGGUACGUGAGCUGGGUUUAAAACGUCGUGAGACAGUUUGGUCCCUAUCUUCCGUGGGCGCUGCAGAUUUGAGGAAGCCUGCUCCUAGUACGAGAGGACCGGAGUGGACGAACCUCUGGUGUACCGGUUGUCACGCCAGUGGCAUUGCCGGGUAGCUAAGUUCGGAAGAGAUAACCGCUGAAAGCAUCUAAGCGGGAAGCCCACCUCAAGAUUAGAUUUCCCUAAAGAGCCGUUCAAGACUAGGACGUUGAUAGGCAGGGUGUGGAAGCACAGCGAUGUGUGUAGCUAACCUGUACUAAUUGCUCGUU